rnacentral:rRNA from 1 species
GCAUAUCACUAAGCGGCGGAUGAGAAACUAACAAGGAUUCCCUUAGUAACGGCGAGUGAACAGGGAUUAGCCCAGCACCGAAGCCCUUGGCCAUUUGGUCAUUAGGCAAUGUGGUGUUUAGGUUGGUCCGCAGAGGCACUGCUCCACUCUGAGUCCAGCAAUGAGUAUGGUAGCAUGGACAUGGCCCAUUGAGGGUGAAAGGCCCGUAAGAGUGGAGUUCAGGCAGGCCAGUGCCUCUCUGGAUUGACCAAAGAGUCGGGUUGUUUGUGAAUGCAGCCCAAAGUGGGUGGUAAACUCCAUCCAAGGCUAAAUACAAGCACGAGUCCGAUAGCAAACAAGUACCGUGAGGGAAAGUUGAAAAGUACUUUGAAGAGAGAGUAAACAGUGCGUGAAACCGCUCAGAGGUAAACGGGUGGAGUUGAACUGCAUGCUCCGUGAAUUCAGCUGGUGAGAUUGUUGUGGGCUUGGUCAUGUGGGGUGGACAAUGAGGUAUGCUUAGCUGCAUGUCCCGGCCGGCUGGUUGGGAUGCGCGAUACGCUCAUCAUGCGUUGCGCGCCUCUGCUGUUCAUCUGCCCUCUCUCCAGUGCAUUUUCGCGGAGUGUUCACCAAGACCGGCGUUGCUGUCCGGCUGCUUUAGUUAAACCGGUCUUACGCGUCCUUGUGGCGUUGUUUGGUCGGGACGGCAGGUAGCCCGUUGGCUUGCUUUGCAUGCUUUCGUGUGUAAUCAGCUGACUAAAGCGGGACUGUGCAGUACGUCGGAGCUGGCGGCCAGUUGUGCCUGCUCGUGCGUCAUGCCUUCCGAAGCAUCCUGUUCUGAUCGCCAUGUUGCCUGUCUCGGCAGGUCUGGUGGUGGACAGGGUUCUAUUGGUUGGUGGUUCCUCGGGUAGCACUUUAUAGAGCCAAUAGUCUUUGGUGUCGUGGUAGACUAUCCACCUGACCCGUCUUGAAACACGGACCAAGGAGAGUAACAUGUGCGCGAGUCAUUGGGCGUAACGAAACCCAAAGGCGCAGUGAAAGUAAAGGUCUGACUUGUUCAGUCUGAGGUGAGAUCCUGUUGUUUCUCAUGCCUGGUACCACCAAGCUUGGAGCGACAGGCGCAUCACCGGCCCGUCCCAUGAUGUAGACACGGUCAUUGUACUCGUGCACCGUCGGGGCGGAGCAUGAGCGCACAUGUUGAGACCCGAAAGAUGGUGAACUAUGCUUGCGCAGGUUGAAGCCAGAGGAAACUCUGGUGGAGGACCGCAGCGAUUCUGACGUGCAAAUCGAUCGUCAAACGUGAGUAUAGGGGCGAAAGACUAAUC